rnacentral:rRNA from 1 species
CAAAAACAUUUCCUUCUAGUUUAGAAGGUAAGGCCUGCUCACUGAAAUUUAAAGAGCCGCAGUAUCCUAACUGUGCUAAGGUAGCAUAAUCAUUAGUCUUUUAAUUGGAGACUGGUAUGAAUGGCUAAACGAGAAAUUGACUUUUUUUGUUAUAAAAAUCGAAUUUAAUUUUUUAGUGAAAAAGCUAAAAUUUUUCAGAAAGACGAGAAGACCCUAUAGAGUUUUAUAUUUAAAGGUAUAUUUCCUAAUUAGAUUUUCAUAGAUUAUAUAUUAUAGAAUAUUUUGUUGGGGCGACAUUAAGAUAUAAAAAACUCUUUAUUUUUUAAAUUUUUAUAAAAAACUUUUUUGAUCCUCUAAAAGAGAUCAAAAGAAAAAAUUACCUUAGGGAUAACAGCGUAAUCUUUUUUGAGAGUUCUAAUCGACAAAAAGGUUUGCGACCUCGAUGUUGGACUAAAAUUUAGGCAGGGUGCAGCAGUUCUGCUUUAAGGUCUGUUCGACCUAUAAUAUUUUACAUGAUCUGAGU